UGACUUUCCCCANACUUAGGAUGGCCUGU
rnacentral:piRNA from 1 species